GAGGCCUAGGAGACGAUGUCCGUGCUGCUUUGUCGAGGACCAGUUUAUUAGAAGUGUCCCGGGACCAGCAUAGCCGCCAAGCCAUGCCACGCUUCCCUGUUGCAGAAAUGCCUCACAACGCCCCCCCUGUGUACGCGCUCGAUGCGCUCCUCAGGAUGAUGGACGCGAUGUAAGGUUGUGUCGUUGAUACUCGCCGCGCAGUUUUGGACGCAUCUGUUAUGGCUCAUUGUAGUUUCUCAUGUUUUUGUCGCUGGAGUUUAGUAAGAAUUGUUCGUUUGAGUUUGAGUGUUUUUUUUUUUUUUUUUUUUUUUUUUUUCCUUUUGUUUUAUUGGAAGGAGAUGGAGAUGGCCUCUGUCGUAUUCCUGUGUGCCAAAGAGUCUGUACUGAUUCAUUUUCCACAUAUCGUGAUGUUAAGAACCGAUUUUCUCUCAGUAUGUUCGUAAUACGACACGUGAUUUUUGUACGGUUGACAGGCAAUUACUCCACGUUUUCAAAGUGAAGGUUUGGUAGUUAAUGAAGUGGAACAUUUGCCCCAGAAGGAUGUCCAAAUUUCUCGCACGGAUCGCGGCCGGUAUCGGAAUGAGCGUCAAUUCAAGAAUCUCGCAAGUAGUAAUAGUGAGCAUUAACUGCAACUCUCCUCGUUUCAUUUUGGACCUCAUCCAUGCAGCAUGACUGGUGACAGGUUACAAACAGGUGCAUUGUGGAGUAUCGAAAUAGUGGAGAGCACUACAAUGUGAUGAAGCAGUGGGUGGAUGUGUCCACCACAUAGCCUACUGUUGGUGUUACUGACUACCUUCGCAGUUCAGUUUCGGAAACUAAUUUUUUAUUGAUUAAAACCUACGGCUUAUAGAUCAGUACUUGUGGAAGUGAGUAGAGUCCCUUAUUUCAAUUUCUAAUUAUCUACUUUUGAUAUUUUUAUGUCAGUUAAGUAUAUUGAUCAAUUAAGGUAUUUUAUCAGGGAGCUUUCCAUAUCCUGAAUUGUGCACAUGAUAGGAGGGUUCUUUGCUUCAGGAUCGCUGAGUGUUACUCAAGCCUCGAAGUUAAAGUUUGAAUGGUAACGCUUAGUGAUACUUCUCUGAAAAUAGUUGCCUCAAACAAUUGGUUUGUUGAACCUGAAGAAUAGCACGUAUUGGUUUUUAGCCAUCGGUUCAGACCAAAUAAAUAACACAUGUUGUGACGACAUUUUGGCGGUUGUAUUUAUGUAAGCCAUUUAAUCUGGGCAUUUGUAAGACGGAACUUCAAUGUUUUUUCA